rnacentral:rRNA from 1 species
CCUACGGGGGUCAGCAGUGGGGGAUAUUGCACAAUGGGGGAAACCCUGAUGCAGCGACGCCGCGUGGGUGAAGAAGCGCCUCGGCGCGUAAAGCCCUGUCAGCAGGGAAGAAAAUGACGGUACCUGAAGAAGAAGCCCCGGCUAACUACGUGCCAGCAGCCGCGGUAACAAGUAGGGGGCAAGCGUUAUCCGGAUUUACUGGGUGUAAAGGGGGCGCAGACGGUGAUGCAAGCCAGGAGUGAAAGCCCGGGGCCCAACCCCGGGACUGCUCUUGGAACUGCGUGGCUAGAGUGCAGGAGGGGCAGGCGGAAUGCCUGGUGUAGCGGUGAAAUGCGUAGAUAUCAGGAGGAACACCGGUGGCGAAGGCGGCCUGCUGGACUGCAACUGACGUUGAGGCCCGAAAGCGUGGGGAGCAAACAGGAUUAGAUACCCUUGUAGUC